rnacentral:rRNA from 1 species
CUUUACUUACCGGAGGAAAAGAAACCAACAGGGAUUGCCCUAGUAACGGCGAGUGAAGCGGCAACAGCUCAAAUUUGAAAUCUGGCCCUCGGGUCCGAGUUGUAAUUUGUAGAGGAUGCUUUGGGUGCGGGCCUUCCGAGUUCCCUGGAACGGGACGCCAUAGAGGGUGAGAGCCCCGUCUGGUUGGACGCCAAUCCUCUGUAAAGCUCCUUCGACGAGUCGAGUAGUUUGGGAAUGCUGCUCUAAAUGGGAGGUAUAUGUCUUCUAAAGCUAAAUACCGGCCAGAGACCGAUAGCGCACAAGUAGAGUGAUCGAAAGAUGAAAAGCACUUUGAAAAGAGAGUUAAAAAGUACGUGAAAUUGUUGAAAGGGAAGCGCUUGUGACCAGACUUGGGCUUGGUUGAUCAUCCAGGGUUCUCCCCGGUGCACUCUUCCAGUCCAGGCCAGCAUCAGUUCGCCGCGGGGGACAAAAGCUUCGGGAAUGUGGCUCCCUCGGGAGUGUUAUAGCCCCCUGCGCAAUACCCUGCGGCGGACUGAGGUUCGCGCUCCGCAAGGAUGCUGGCGUAAUGGUCACCAGUGACCCGUCUUGAAACACGGACCAAGGAGUCGUCUUCGUAUGCGAGUGUUCGGGUGUUAAACCCCUACGCGGAAUGAAAGUGAACGCAGGUGAGAGCUUCGGCGCAUCACCGACCGAUCCUGAUGUUCUCGGAUGGAUUUGAGUAAGAGCAUACGGGGCCGGACCCGAAAGAAGGUGAACUAUGCCUGUAUAGGGUGAAGCCAGAGGAAACUCUGGUGGAGGCUCGCAGCGGUUCUGACGUGCAAAUCGAUCGUCAAAUAUGGGCAUGGGGGCGAAAGACUAAUCGAACCUUCUAGUAGCUGGUUUC